CCUACGGGCGGCAGCAGUGGGGGAUAUUGCACAAUGGGGGGAACCCUGAUGCAGCGACGCCGCGUGGGUGAAGGAGUGCUUCGGCAUGUAAAGCCCUAUCGGCAGGGAAGCAGCCAGACGGUACCUGACUAAGAAGCCCCGGCUAACUACGUUCCAGCAGCCGCGGUACUGCGUAGGGGGCGAACGUUAUCCGGAUUCACUGGGUGUAACGGGAGCGUAGACGGCCAUGCAAGCCAGAGGUGAAAGCCCGGGGCCGAACCCCGGGACUGCCCUUGGAACUGCAUGGCGGGAGUGCGGGAGGAGCAGGCGGAAUGCCUGGUGUAGCGGUGAAAUGCGUAGAUAUCAGGAGGAACACCGGCGGCGAAGGCGGCCUGCUGGACUGCGACUGACGUUGAGGCUCGAAAGCGUGGGGAGCGAACAGGAUUAGAGACCCGUGUAGUC
rnacentral:rRNA from 1 species